GAUGAACGCUGGCGGCGUGCCUAAUACAUGCAAGUAGAACGCUGAAGGAGGAGCUUGCUCUUCUGGAUGAGUUGCGAACGGGUGAGUAACGCGUAGGUAACCUGCCUGGUAGCGGGGGAUAACUAUUGGAAACGAUAGCUAAUACCGCAUGACAACAGUUAUUGCAUGAUAACUGUUUAAAAGGGGCAACUGCUCCACUACCAGAUGGACCUGCGUUGUAUUAGCUAGUUGGUGAGGUAACGGCUCACCAAGGCGACGAUACAUAGCCGACCUGAGAGGGUGAUCGGCCACACUGGGACUGAGACACGGCCCAGACUCCUACGGGAGGCAGCAGUAGGGAAUCCUCGGCAAUGGACGGAAGUCUGACCGAGCAACGCCGCGUGAGUGAAGAAGGUUUUCGGAUCGUAAAGCUCUGUUGUAAGAGAAGAACGAGUGUGAGAGUGGAAAGUUCACACUGUGACGGUAUCUUACCAGAAAGGGACGGCUAACUACGUG
rnacentral:rRNA from 1 species